rnacentral:misc_RNA from 1 species
UUUCCGUAGGUGAACCUGCGGAAGGAUCAUUAAUAAAUGUUACUUCGGUAACUUAAUUAAUCCCUAACACCUGUGCAUCUUGUCGCUUCGGCGUCAUUUUAUAAACAACAGUGUAAUGAAUGUAAUGUAUUAUAACAAAUACAACUUUCAACACUUUCAACAACGGAUCUCUUGGCUCUCGCAUCGAUGAAGAACGCAGC